UCUAUCGAUCAGUUGGCAAGAUGUCGGCAUAGCUGAUAUUUUUAAUUUUCAAAGCCCGCUAUGCUGCAUCUAGUCAAUUAUUUCA
rnacentral:pre_miRNA from 1 species